CAGGGCUUGACAUGUUGGAAGUAGUGAACCGAAAGGGGAACGACCUGUUAAGUCAGGAGCCUUCACAGGUGCUGCAUGGCUGUCGUCAGCUCGUGCCGUGAGGUGUCGGGUUAAGUCCCAUAACGAGCGCAACCCCUGUUGCCAGUUAAAUUCUCUGGCGAGACCGCCCCGCAAAACGGGGAGGAAGGCGGGGAUGACGUCAAGUCAGCAUGGCCCUUAUGCCCUGGGCUACACACACGCUACAAUGGGUGGCACAAUGGGUUGCAAUGGAGCGAUCCGGAGCUAAUCCUAAAAAUCCAUCCUCAGUUCGGAUUGCAGGCUGCAAUUCGCCUGCAUGAAGUCGGAGUUGCUAGUAACCGUAAAUCAGCAUGUUACGGUGAAUACGUUCU
rnacentral:rRNA from 1 species